AUCAUCCUCAUCCUCACACUAAUGCAAGGAAACACAAAAAGAGGCCGUUCUCAACCUUGCUGCCAUAGGUAAAAGUUAGCUGCUACGUACAUCUGUAUAAAGGGCGUUUCGCAGAAGAAAGAAGGCAUGGUUGCUGAAGAAGCUGCUGGGAGGAAUUUGCAUCCAGAUUUGUCAGCAGCAAGAAGCAAGAGAGACACUGAGCCUGGCCUGGGAUUUGAAGAAUUCAAGGUUGCUCCUAGUGACACACCUCCAACAUGGCCACACCUCCUAAUCCUUUCCAAUCAGAACUAAGCAUGCACAUUUGUGGGUUUAUAGUGGGCAGUCUUAUUCAAACUACCACAUUCCACUCCUGGCCCCUCAUAGGAUUAUGGCCAUAUUAUAAUGUAAAAUACUAAAAUACAAUCACACAUUCAGUCCAA